UACAGAGGGUGCGAGCGUUAAUCGGAAUUACUGGGCGUAAAGCGUGCGUAGACGGUUUCGUAAGUCGGGUGUGAAAUCCCCGGGCUCAACCUGGGAAUUGCAUUCGAAACUGCGAGGCUAGGGUACGGAAGAGGGAAGCGGAAUUUCUGGUGUAGCGGUGAAAUGCGUAGAUAUCGGGAGGAACACCGGUGGCGAAGGCGGGUCUCUGGGCAUCUCCUGACGCUGAGGCGCGAAAGCGUGGGGAGCAAACGGG
rnacentral:rRNA from 1 species